rnacentral:rRNA from 1 species
GGGCGCAAGCCUGAUGCAGCGACGCCGCGUGAGGGAUGACGGCCUUCGGGUUGUAAACCUCUUUCAGUAGGGAAGAAGCGAAAGUGACGGUACCUGCAGAAGAAGCGCCGGCUAACUACGUGCCAGCAGCCGCGGUAAUACGUAGGGCGCAAGCGUUAUCCGGAAUUAUUGGGCGUAAAGAGCUCGUAGGCGGUUUGUCGCGUCUGCUGUGAAAGACCGGGGCUCAACUCCGGUUCUGCAGUGGGUACGGGCAGACUAGAGUGCAGUAGGGGAGACUGGAAUUCCUGGUGUAGCGGUGAAAUGCGCAGAUAUCAGGAGGAACACCGAUGGCGAAGGCAGGUCUCUGGGCUGUAACUGACGCUGAGGAGCGAAAGCAUGGGGAGCGAACAGGAUUAGAUACCCUGGUAGUCCAUGCCGUAAACGUUGGGCACUAGGUGUGGGGGACAUUCCACGUUUUCCGCGCCGUAGCUAACGCAUUAAGUGCCCCGCCUGGG